CUCUUUUAUUAUCUUCUUUUAUUAUCUUCUAUUUAAUAUAUCCCUUUUUAUUUAAAUCAUCAACUGAACAUACUGAACGUACCCCAUAUAUUCUUACUCUGUAAGUAUCUGUUUUUCAAUACGGAACAUGCCCGCCACUGUCUACGUCGCACUGUCAUGAAAGUGACACUUCAUCCCUACUCGCUGACACAAAAUCAAAAUGGAAGGGAAAAAUAAAUCUAUUUAAAGAGAUGGGCCCAUAAGGCACUAUCUAUUUCAAGACUUUCAUUCUCUUGGGUUUUUGGGAUAAGAAUAAACUUUUCUACCUCCGGGAGCCUCCAGCUUCAAGCCAACCUCACCGGUGAUGGAACUACGGGGAAAUAACGUGAGACCAUGACAUCCAUACUACAGCAUCCAACAUCUGCAGGUGCACUGACCUAGGGCCACAACAUCUGCCCAGGUCUACAAGAAGUCCACAGCAGUACCAUUCAACAUCAAGAAGUUACCAUCAGCUGCCAAAAGCCAUAAGUAUAAUCCAGAAUUGUUAGUUUCUGAUAAUGCGCCAGUUGCUGAACCAAUUAAGAAUACCGAUACAAAGAAAACGGAGUCAUCUACGUCUCCAUACAAAAAGUCUGAUCAUUCACAAAGUUUUGAGCUCGCUAAAGACAUUAAAACCGAAAGUACAUUAGUCGAAAUCGCUGAUACUUCAUCGCGAAAAUGUCCAAUAAGCUGCACCAAUAACAAACCGAAUGGAAAACGACAAAAACUAGAAAAUAGUGAAGACACUAAGAGGUCAGAGCGAUUAUUUGGUGAUCUAGUUGUUGCUAUGUUACAGGAAAAACCUGAGAGCGAAAGAAACAGAUGAGGUUUAACUCUACAAAAAGCAGCAGAAUUAGCAAAUAUGGAUGAUGCGGAUGAAAUCUUCACUGAGCCUCCGGAUGCCAGUGAAUAACAGUUGAAAAUUCUGGAAAUGAGGAUGAGGUUAGUGCAUGUGACUUAGUUCCAUCACAUGUACGACCUCUUCCUGCGCAAAGUUAUAAAAAAGAUAUCGAAGAUCCUGUUGCUCUGUUCAAAAAAUAUCACGAUGAUAAUACUGCCAUGCUUAGCAAAAACGCUGUAUCUGCAAAAAUCUGAAAAAAUUAAAUUUUUACUUCUUUCUAACCCAAAUAUCUAUCUUAUUUGCUUACUAAAAAUGAUGCAAGUUAAGCCAAAACACAUUAAACACACCGCAUCUUAUGCCAUAUCCUGUGUAAAUGUAUACAAAUACUUCAAACAAAAAUCGAUUUUACUCAAAUGUGAUGUCUCUGUAGAUAUGGCGUUUUGGCUAAGCACGGCAGAAUAUUGUAUUAUCCAGAUGUUAGUAGUAGAAACGAAAAAGGUAUGCCAUUUUUUAAAAACUGUCCAGAUCCUCAAAUUACGGCAGAAGAAAUUCAUUGCCAUUCUCAUCGUGAGUGGAUAUGAUUGCAAACCUAGCAAGUGGCACUUUUGGGAUAGCCAUAGCCAGCCAGUCUUCACAACAAAAGACGUCUCUGUGCAGGAGAGGGGUGUAGCUGUAGUACUCGAACAUUGUGUAGCAAAUUUAAUGUUAUGUUGGCAUGUAUAUUGACUGCAAUUAUACUUUUCAUGGGAAGACAUUCUAGUUUUAAAAUAAAUUUUAUUGUGUUUAAGAAUUUAUUCUGUUAGUUACAGUACUGUAAUGACCUAGCCUUACA